GCCUAGGUAGCUGGGAAGGUAGCGCGUAUGUCUUGAAAGCUCUAGGUCACGGGUUCGAUUCCCGCCUUGGGCG
rfam:Asian citrus Psyllid, Diaphorina citri - Florida Strain, whole genome shotgun sequence.